UUGUAUGUUGCAUAUAAAUUUUUUAUGUUACAUAUGAUGUAUACAUGAAAUUGAUACAUGUUUAAUUGUUAAACAUAGAUUUGAAAAAUUAAAUUUUGAUUUGAAACAUAUGGUAUGCUUUACUUGAAAUUCUAGUAGAAUAGUUCUAUAAACUAAAAUACAUGUUUCACAAACUUAAUUUUGAGUUAUAUUUUAAAAGGAUCUAGAUUUGAGAAUUAAAGAUUUUAAGACACCUCAUAAAUUGAUGGGCAAUGGGUUAGCAUGAAUCAGGUUAUC
rnacentral:lncRNA from 1 species